UGUCAACCGCAGAGAGAUCUCCCUAAAAUGAACUAACCAAACCAGAGGCCAGAGUUACAAGAGAAUCUGUAAGAGGGUCCUCCUCCUCUAAAGAGAGGUAGUCCUAGAAUAGAAGCAAUCAAGGAAAGAAGUGGUAAAAGAAGAUACAAACUUUUAGUAAAGGGGAAUGACCGGGUGAAGUACAAAUGCCAUCUAUCCAAGCCUGGCUCACGUUGCAAGUCGCACCAGCAGCAGAUAAUGUUAUGAUGCUCCUCCCCACCCAACUCUCCCAGAAUUGAUACCUGAGGUAGCUCAGGUGAAGUCCGGGGCUCCUGUGGGUCUCCACCUCCACAUCACUGCUGGGUUCUGAGCAGGAAGAAAAACAGAGACUUGGGUGGAAGAAGGAGUAAGAGUGGAGGACUAUGGGGUGGUUGUCACAGGAAAGAAAUCUGACAAAACGGCAAAGCUUCGGGAACGUCAGGAUUUCCUCA
rnacentral:antisense_RNA from 1 species